rnacentral:pre_miRNA from 1 species
AUGCUGGGCACUGGAGCUACCCAGAGGAAUGCACAUCGCUCCCCUCGAGGAGCUCACAGUCUAGCAU